AGCACUUAGUCCACCAGUUGAGGUUGCCGGGGAACGAGGGUUAACUGUCUCUGCCUGGUCCAACUGCCCAUACAGCAUACAACAACGCACACAUAGAAAUCCAAGAAAAUGUUGUCUACAGAUCCUGAAGAUGAGCAUUUUGAGAGCUACAGCGUCGAUGAGCAGCAGUCGAAGAACUCCAUUCUAACUGAAUGGAUUGGCAUGGGGAGAAGCGGACCUCAAAACUUGGCUAAGCGGCAGCUUUGGAACUGUAUUACUUUUACGAUGGUUUUACUUUCGCUGCUGCUCCGACCAGCACACUGCCAACAGUGCCGGAUCCAGCGCUGCAAUGCGGAGUAUGUGGCCUCUACCUCUCCCUCUAGUGGUCUCCAGGAAGACUCCCUGUCCGAUGUGGACUACUGCAUUGCCUUGCGUGCCUACGCCCUGUGUACCCGCCGCACAGCGCGCAGCUGCAGGGGUGACCUUGUCUACCACUCGGCCGUGUUCCGUAUCAAAGAGCUCUUCACCCAGCACAACUGCUCCAGCGACGGGCCCACCUCCUCGGCCAGGGCCCCUAGCACCUCCAGGCCAGUCGUGUCCGAGCUGUGCGACUACGAGAGCCGUGUGCUGGCCUCUGGCCCUGCCGGCCAGGGAAAGAAGUAUGCCCACUGUGGAUUAUUCGGGGACCCACACCUACGGACGUUCCGCGACGAGUUCCAGACCUGCAAGGUGGAGGGGGCGUGGCCUCUUAUCGAUAACCGUUACCUGUCGGUGCAGGUGACCAACGUACCUGUUGUCCUGGGCUCCAGCGCCACCGCCACCAGCAAGAUAACAGUGAUCUUCAAGUCGUACCACGGCUGUACAGAGCAGAAGGUGUACCAGGCUACCACCGAGGACCUUCCCUCUGCCUUCCAGGACGGCUCUCGGAGUGGCGGGGAGGGGGGCAGUCUGUGGAUCGUAGAAAAGGUUGGCUCCGGGGGCCGCCUGGUGACGAUCCAGGCCCGCUACAUUGGGACGUCCAUCAUAGUGCGCCGAGUGGGGCGCUACCUUACCUUCGCCAUCCGCAUGCCAGAGGACACCCUUGACUUUUCUGAGGAGAACAGUGGGCUGCAGCUUUGUCUGCACGGGUGCCCUCGCAACGAGCUCAUCAAGGAGCACACGCUGGGGCGCCAGCCCCUUCACCCCCACCUCCCAGGCUCCGGGUCUAACCCUGAGCUGGGGCCCCUACUGCCCCCACAUCAGAUCUACACAGUGGAGCGUGCCACAGCCAAGUGCAGGGAGACCCUGCAAGUGGAGGACAUAUACUUCCAGUCAUGUGUGUUUGACCUGCUCACCACAGGGGACCCUGAGUUCUCCAUGGCAGCCUACGGGGCUCUGGAGGAUCUGAAGGCCCUUCCUCCCAGCAAACUGAAGCAAAACUCUCCCAGGACUCCUCAUGUUCCACAAAACAGAGGGGGCUACACACGUUGGCCACAGCCACCCCCAGUCUGGUCACACUCCUGCUCCUGGUUCUACUGCUUUUGUAAAGAGCGAAUACAACACGCAAACAAAGUGGAAGUGAUGCCAGCUUGAAGGAGUUUUUUUUGCAUUUGUGAAUGAAUGUUGUAGUUCUUUUCCUGUCACUAAACCAUUUUGUAGGAUUGAUCCCUCAAAGGAUACCAGUGCUUCUUGUUCCCCCCCAGACACACGUUGGCUGCCAGCUUCUACCACUUAAUUGAGUCUGAGCCUGAAUGCACGCAAUCAGGUGGGAUCGGUGGUUAAGUGCGUAAUGCACUCUCUAUUUUCACACUUGUAAAUUGGAUUAAGACAGUUACAGGAUGCUUCAAUGGGAAAUUCAUCAACGUGGUUCUGUGCACCGGCUGUAAAUGCAUCUUAUCAAAAAUAUUAGUCAAUUUCAUAUUUUUUGGGAAUACAUCAAGAUGCACACAAUCGUGUCGGAUAUCAUCAGAGAACGCAUCAGGCUUACGUGUAAAUAGUCUAUAGUGCAGGGACUUCUGGAAUGUGUAUCAUUAGGCACUUACCGGUUAACGCUCCAAGUUUAGUUCCUCAAUGUUGUCAUAUUUACUGGAAAAUGUUUCUUACAUGGGAUGAUCCAACAACUAAACGAAAAUACUACCUAUCCAAAUGUAUUUGGGUUUUGGUGUAAUAUUCUCAGUACUUUUCACUCCACCCAAGUGUGAUCGCAUUAUCAGUUUGGUGAAACACUCCCUCUUCAAGCUGCUUGGCUUCCAGUUUUUUUUUUAAAGGUAAAGAAACAAUCUCUAUAUAAUAAUAAUAUAUUGAAAGAGUGUAUGUUUUAUAUUGUGUACAUUUGCCUGUGUAUAGAUUGUUUUACACUUGUUGUGAUUAGUUAGGUAUUUUUGAAUGAACUAAUGUGUUUUACCUUAUCUGUAAUUUUCCAUAUUAAAGUGUUGGACACCA